rnacentral:rRNA from 1 species
GACGAACGCUGGCGGCGCGCCUAACACAUGCAAGUCGAACGGAGCUGCGAGAAGCUUGCUUUUCUUAGCUUAGUGGCGAACGGGUGAGUAACGCGUGAGUAACCUGCCCUGGAGUGGGGGACAACAGUGGGAAACGACUGCUAAUACCGCAUAAGCCCACGAUCCGGCAUCGGAUUGAGGGAAAAGGAUUUAUUCGCUUCAGGAUGGACUCGCGUCCAAUUAGCUAGUUGGUGAGGUAACGGCCCACCAAGGCGACGAUUGGUAGCCGGACUGAGAGGUUGACCGGCCACGUUGGGGCUGAGGCCCGGCCCAGACUCCUACGGGAGGCAGCAGUGGGUGAUAUUGCGCGAUGGGGGAAACCGUGAUGCAGCGGCGCCGCGUGGAGGAAGAAGGUUUUCGGAUUGUAAACUCCUGUCGUUAGGGACGAUAAUGACGGUACCUAACAAGAAAGCACCGGCUAACUACGUG